rnacentral:rRNA from 1 species
UGGGGAAUAUUGGACAAUGGGCGCAAGCCUGAUCCAGCCAUGCCGCGUGUGUGAAGAAGGCCUUCGGGUUGUAAAGCACUUUUGUCCGGAAAGAAAAGCUCUCGGUUAAUACCCGGGGGUCCUGACGGUACCGGAAGAAUAAGCACCGGCUAACUUCGUGCCAGCAGCCGCGGUAAUACGAAGGGUGCAAGCGUUACUCGGAAUUACUGGGCGUAAAGCGUGCGUAGGUGGUUUGUUAAGUCUGAUGUGAAAGCCCUGGGCUCAACCUGGGAAUGGCAUUGGAUACUGGCGAGCUAGAGUGCGGUAGAGGGUAGUGGAAUUCCCGGUGUAGCAGUGAAAUGCGUAGAGAUCGGGAGGAACAUCUGUGGCGAAGGCGACUACCUGGACCAGCACUGACACUGAGGCACGAAAGCGUGGGGAGCAAACAGG